AGCAGCCGCGGUAAUUCCAGCUCCAAUAGCGUAUAUUAAAGUUGUUGCAGUUAAAAGGCUCGUAGUUGAAUUUCGGGGUCAGCAGGUCGGUCGUGCCACUGGUAUGCACUGGCCUUGCUGAUUCCUCCCUCUUGAUGAGCCGUAAUGCCAUUAAUUUGGUGUUGCGGGGAACCAGGACUGUUACUUUGAAAAAAUUAGAGUGUUUAAAGCAGGCAAGCGCUUGAAUACAUUAGCAUGGAAUAAUGAAAUAGGACGUUUGAUCCUAUUUUGUUGGUUUCUAGGAUUGACGUAAUGAUUAAUAGGGAUAGUUGGGGGCAUUAGUAUUCAAUUGUCAGAGGUGAAAUUCUUGGAUUUAUCGAAGACUAACUACUGCGAAAGCAUUUGCCAAGGAUGUUUUCAUUAAUCAAGAACGAAAGUUAGGGGAGUCGAAGACGAUCAGAUACCGUCGUAGUCUUAACCAUAAACUAUAGCCGACUAGGGAUCGGGAUGAUGUUAAUUUUUAAUGACUCAUUC
rnacentral:rRNA from 1 species